rnacentral:rRNA from 1 species
GACGAACCGUCCAAACGUUAUUCGGAAUCACUGGGCUUAAAGGGUGCGUAGGCGGCGCGGAAAGUUGGGUGUGAAAUCCCUCGGCUCAACCGAGGAACUGCGCCCAAAACUACCGUACUCGAGGAAGAUAGAGGUGAGCGGAACUUAGGGUGGAGCGGUGAAAUGCGUUGAUAUCCUAAGGAACACCGGUGGCGAAAGCGGCUCACUGGAUCUUUUCUGACGCUGAGGCACGAAAGCUAGGGUAGCGAACGGG